rnacentral:lncRNA from 1 species
ACUUUCGUAUCUUCCUGUACCGGAGCUGCAGCGGGGGCAGGUGGGGCCUGAGCUGCUGCUGGGGCUGCUGGAGGAGCCUGACUAGGUGGAGGUACAGCAGCCUGAGGUUGUGCAGGUGCUGGUCCUGCAGCCUGAGGUAGUUGAGUAGGUGCCUGUGCUGGAGCACUGAGUGAAGGAGCUGGAGGCUCGGCUGAUGGGAAUAGCUCUGAAUUCUGUACAGGUUCUUUCACUCUGGGAGACCUGAGCUGUGAAAUUGCUGCUCUGCCUUCCUCACUUUCUUCAUCUAG